rnacentral:rRNA from 1 species
AGGGCACCACCAGGAGUGGAGCCUGCGGCUUAAUUUGACUCAACACGGGGAAACUUACCCGGCCUGGACACUGGAAGGAUUGACAGAUUGAGAGCUCUUUCUUGAUUCGGUGGGUGGUGGUGCAUGGCCGUUCUUAGUUGGUGGAGCGAUUUGUCUGGUUAAUUCCGAUAACGAACGAGACUCUAGCCUAUUAAAUAGGCUCUCGGCUUUUAAACGCCGGGAGGACUUCUUAGAGGGACAGGUGGCGGUUCAGCCGCACGAAAGAGAGCAAUAACAGGUCUGUGAUGCCCUUUGUUGUCCGGGGCCGCACGCGCGCUACACUGGAGAGAUCAGCGUGCUUUACGUUCCUGCUCCGACCGGAGUGGGGAACCCAGUGAACCUUCUUCGUGAUUGGGAUAGAAGAUUGUAAUUAUUCUUCUUGAACGAGGAAUUCCCAGUAAAUGCGAGUCAUAAGCUCGCGUUGAUUACGUCCCUGCCCUUUGUACACACCGCCCGUCGCUACUACCGAUUGAACGAUUU